AUUGAACGCUGGCGGCGUGCUUUACACAUGCAAGUCGAGCGGCAGCACGACCUUCGGGUUGGUGGCGAGCGGCGAACGGGUGAGUAAUACAUCGGAACGUACCUUUUAGUUGGGGAUAACGCAUCGAAAGAUGUGCUAAUACCGAAUAAUCUCUGAGGAGGAAAGGCGGGGAUCGGAAACGACCUGUCGCUGAAAGAGCGGCCGAUGGCCGAUUAGCUAGUUGGCGGGGUAAAGGCCCACCAAGGCGAUGAUCGGUAGCUGUUCUGAGAGGAAGAUCAGCCACACUGGGACUGAGACACGGCCCAGACUCCUACGGGAGGCAGCAGUGGGGAAUUUUGGACAAUGGGGGCAACCCUGAUCCAGCAACGCCGCGUGAAUGAAGAAGGCCUUAGGGUUGUAAAGUUCUUUUGUCAGGGAAGAAAAGGCUUGUGCUAAUAUCACAAGCUGCUGACGGUACCUGAAGAAUAAGCACCGGCUAACUACGUG
rnacentral:rRNA from 1 species